rnacentral:tRNA from 1 species
AUUUUUCUAAUAUAAUAAGUAUAAUUGACUUCCAAUCAAUAAGUCUGGUU